UAGGGAAUCUUCCACAAUGGGCGCAAGCCUGAUGGAGCAACACCGCGUGAGUGAAGAAGGGUUUCGGCUCGUAAAGCUCUGUUGUUAAAGAAGAACACGUAUGAGAGUAACUGUUCAUACGUUGACGGUAUUUAACCAGAAAGUCACGGCUAACUACGUGCCAGCAGCCGCGGUAAUACGUAGGUGGCAAGCGUUAUCCGGAUUUAUUGGGCGUAAAGAGAGUGCAGGCGGUUUUCUAAGUCUGAUGUGAAAGCCUUCGGCUUAACCGGAGAAGUGCAUCGGAAACUGGAUAACUUGAGUACAGAAGAGGGUAGUGGAACUCCAUGUGUAGCGGUGGAAUGCGUAGAUAUAUGGAAGAACACCAGUGGCGAAGGCGGCUACCUGGUCUGCAACUGACGCUGAGACUCGAAAGCAUGGGUAGCGAACAGGAUUAGAUACCCUGGUAGUCCAUGCCGUAAACGAUGAGUGCUAGGUGUUGGAGGGUUUCCGCCCUUCAGUGCCGGAGCUAACGCAUUAAGCACUCCGCCUGGGGAGUACGACCGCAAGGUU
rnacentral:rRNA from 1 species